UACGUAGGGUGCGAGCGUUAAUCGGAUUUACUGGGCGUAAAGCGAGCGCAGGUGGUUUAAUAAGUCUGAUGUAAAAGGCAGUGGCUCAACCAUUGUGUGCAUUGGAAACUGUCAAACUUGAGUGCAGAAGGGGAGAGUGGAAUUCCAUGUGUAGCGGUGAAAUGCGUAGAUAUAUGGAGGAACACCGGUGGCGAAAGCGGCUCUCUGGUCUGUAACUGACGCUGAGGCUCGAAAGCGUGGGGAGCGAACAGG
rnacentral:rRNA from 1 species